rnacentral:rRNA from 1 species
GACAGAGGUGCCAAGCGUUAGGCGGAAUCACUGGGCUUAAAGCGUGUGUAGGCGGAUGCCUAAGUAUCUUGUGAAAUCCCACGGCUCAACCGUGGAACUGCUUGAUAUACUGGGUGUCUUGAGCCAUCUAGGGGCUACCGGAACAAAUGGUGGAGCGGUGAAAUGCGUAGAUAUCAGGAGGAACACCUGUGGUGUAGACAGCUUACUGGACCACGACUGACGCUGAGACACGAAAGCGUGGGUAGCAAACAGG